rnacentral:lncRNA from 1 species
AUGAUACCUGAUAAGGAGAGGGAGGGUGAUGAGAAUGAUAAGUCUCAGGAGGGUGAUGAGGAGUUGUUGUAUCUAUUUGACAUUUUAGACUUUAUAUUUUUGGAAUUGUUUGAUCGUAUUUUAGUUUAUUUUGAAGUUUUAUGAAGUUUAUUUUGAAGUUGUAUGAAGUUUAUUUUGAAGUUGGAUGAAGUUUAUUUUGAAGUAGUUUAAUGUAUAUGUUGAAAAAUAUUGUAUUGGCAACUCUUUGGGUUGUUUUGGUAUAAAUAUGCAGGUGGG